rnacentral:rRNA from 1 species
GAUGAACGCUGGCGGCGUGCCUAAUACAUGCAAGUCGAGCGAACAGACGAGGAGCUUGCUCCUCUGACGUUAGCGGCGGACGGGUGAGUAACACGUGGAUAACCUACCUAUAAGACUGGGAUAACUUCGGGAAACCGGAGCUAAUACCGGAUAAUAUAUUGAACCGCAUGGUUCAAUAGUGAAAGACGGUUUUGCUGUCACUUAUAGAUGGAUCCGCGCCGCAUUAGCUAGUUGGUAAGGUAACGGCUUACCAAGGCAACGAUGCGUAGCCGACCUGCGAGGGUGAUCGGCCACAUUGGAAGUGAGACACGGUCCAGACUCCUACGGGAGGCAGCAGUAGGGAAUCUUCCGCAAUGGGCGAAAGCCUGACGGAGCAACGCCGCGUGAGUGAUGAAGGUCUUCGGAUCGUAAAACUCUGUUAUUAGGGAAGAACAAAUGUGUAAGUAACUAUGCACGUCUUGACGGUACCUAAUCAGAAAGCCACGGCUAACUACGUG